ACUUGUACUGUGAAACUGCGAAUGGCUCAUUAAAUCAGUUAUCGUUUAUUUGAUAGUACCUUACUACAUGGAUACCUGUGGUAAUUCUAGAGCUAAUACAUGCUAAAAACCCCGACUUCAGGAAGGGGUGUAUUUAUUAGAUAAAAAACCAACGCCCUUCGGGGCUCCUUGGUGAAUCAUAAUAACUUAACGAAUCGCAUGGCCUUGCGCCGGCGAUGGUUCAUUCAAAUUUCUGCCCUAUCAACUUUCGAUGGUAGGAUAGUGGCCUACCAUGGUGGCAACGGGUAACGGGGAAUUAGGGUUCGAUUCCGGAGAGGGAGCCUGAGAAACGGCUACCACAUCCAAGGAAGGCAGCAGGCGCGCAAAUUACCCAAUCCCGAUACGGGGAGGUAGUGACAAUAAAUACUGAUACGGGGCUCUUUUGGGUCUCGUAAUUGGAAUGAGAACAAUUUAAAUCCCUUAACGAGGAACAAUUGGAGGGCAAGUCUGGUGCCAGCAGCCGCGGUAAUUCCAGCUCCAAUAGCGUAUAUUAAAGUUGUUGCAGUUAAAAAGCUCGUAGUUGAACCUUGGGUCUGGCUGGCCGGUCCGCCUCACCGCGAGUACUGGUCCGGCUGGACCUUUCCUUCUGGGGAACCUCAUGGCCUUCACUGGCUGUGGGGGGAACCAGGACUUUUACUGUGAAAAAAUUAGAGUGUUCAAAGCAGGCCUUUGCUCGAAUACAUUAGCAUGGAAUAAUAGAAUAGGACGUGUGGUUCUAUUUUGUUGGUUUCUAGGACCGCCGUAAUGAUUAAUAGGGAUAGUCGGGGGCGUCAGUAUUCAGCUGUCAGAGGUGAAAUUCUUGGAUUUGCUGAAGACUAACUACUGCGAAAGCAUUCGCCAAGGAUGUUUUCAUUAAUCAGGGAACGAAAGUUAGGGGAUCGAAGACGAUCAGAUACCGUCGUAGUCUUAACCAUAAACUAUGCCGACUAGGGAUCGGACGGGAUUCUAUGAUGACCCGUUCGGCACCUUACGAGAAAUCAAAGUUU
rnacentral:rRNA from 1 species